rnacentral:rRNA from 1 species
CCUACGGGGAGCAGCAGUGAGGAAUAUUGGUCCAUGGACGAGAGUCUGAACCCGCCAAGUAGCGUGAAGGAUGACUGCCCUAUGGGUUGUAAACUUCUUUUAUAAAGGAAUAAAACGAGGCACGUGUGCCUUUUUGCAUGUACUUUAUGAAUAAGGAUCGGCUAACUCCGUGCCAGCAGCCGCGGUAAUACGGAGGAUCCGAGCGUUAUCCGGAUUUAUUGGGUUUAAAGGGAGCGUAGAUGGGUUGUUAAGUCAGUUGUGAAAGUUUGCGGCUCAACCGUAAAAUUGCAAUUGAUACUGGCAGUCGUGAGUACAGUUGAGGUAGGCGGAAUGCGUGGUGUAGCGGUGAAAUGCUUAGAUAUCACGAAGAACCCCGAUGGCGAAGGCAGCUUACUAAACUGUGACUGACAUUGAUGCUCGAAAGUGUGGGUAUCAAACAGGAUUAGAUACCCUGGUAGUC